rnacentral:rRNA from 1 species
AACGAACGCUGGCGGCGUGCCUAACACAUGCAAGUCGAACGGGAUUAGGGGCUUGCUCCUAAUCUAGUGGCGCACGGGUGAGUAACGCGUAGAUAAUCUGCCUGAUGAUCCGGGAUAACAGUUCGAAAGGACUGCUAAUACCGGAUAAGCCCACGGGUUCUUUGGAAUCUGCGGGAAAAGGGGGGGACCUUUUGGCCUUCUGUCAUCAGAUGAGUCUGCGUACCAUUAGCUAGUUGGUAGGGUAAAGGCCUACCAAGGCGACGAUGGUUAGCUGGUCUGAAAGGAUGAUCAGCCACACUGGAACUGAGACACGGUCCAGACUCCUACGGGAGGCAGCAGUGGGGAAUUUUGCGCAAUGGGCGAAAGCCUGACGCAGCAACGCCGCGUGAGUGAUGAAGGCUUUCGGGUCGUAAAGCUCUGUCAGGGGGAAAGAAAUGUAUUGUGGCUAAUAUCCACGAUACUUGACGGUACCCCCAAAGGAAGCACCGGCUAACUCCGUGCCAGCAGCCGCAGUAAUAC